rnacentral:rRNA from 1 species
AGUGAACGCUGGCGGUAGGCCUAACACAUGCAAGUCGAACGGCAGCACAGUAAGAGCUUGCUCUUACGGGUGGCGAGUGGCGGACGGGUGAGGAAUACAUCGGAAUCUACUUUUUCGUGGGGGAUAACGUAGGGAAACUUACGCUAAUACCGCAUACGACCUACGGGUGAAAGCAGGGGAUCUUCGGACCUUGCGCGAUUGAAUGAGCCGAUGUCGGAUUAGCUAGUUGGCGGGGUAAAGGCCCACCAAGGCGACGAUCCGUAGCUGGUCUGAGAGGAUGAUCCGCCAACCUGGAACUGAGACACGGUCCAGACUCCUACCGGAGGCAGCAGUGGGGAAUAUUGGACCAUGGGCGCAAGCCUGAUCCCGCCCUACCGCGUGGGUUAAGAAGGCCUUCGGGUUGUAAAGCCCUUUUGUUGGGAAAGAAAAGCAGCAGGUUAAUACCCCGCUGUUCUGACGGUACCCAAAGAAUAAGCAACGGCUAACUUCGUG